GUUUCUGAGAGUAUACUGAUUAGACUGAUAAUAUGGCCAAUGGAACGAGAAUUUCUAUGCAAGGUGUCUCGUCGACUCUAUUCAUCCUCCAUGUCCACUUUGGGGUUCCUGGCAUUACCUGUCUUUCUUCUUCCUUCAUUCUUUACUGUCUAAAUGCCUCUACUUUUCUUCCCCUCUAUCCAAGAGGUACCUCCAAGGGGGCGGUAAUUUUGAUUUAUGUUAUUUGUGGUAUUCUGUGCCUGUGUUUGAUUUGUUCAAUGUUUGGUUUAUUAAGUGUGUUGUGGUGGAGAUUGUGUUGCUGUGAUGAG
rnacentral:lncRNA from 1 species